UACGGAGGGUGCAAACGUUGCUCGGAAUCAUUGGGCGUAAAGCGCACGUAGGCGGACCGCUAAGUCGGAUGUGAAAGCCCUCGGCUUAACCGAGGAAGUGCAUUCGAAACUGACAGUCUUGAGUAUGGAAGAGGGUCGCGGAAUUCCCGGUGUAGAGGUGAAAUUCGUAGAUAUCGGGAGGAACACCAGUGGCGAAGGCGGCGACCUGGGCCAAUACUGACGCUGAGGUGCGAAAGCGUGGGGGAGCAAACAGG
rnacentral:rRNA from 1 species